CGGUAAACAUGUACAUGAUGCUUGCUCUGUAUGACUGUACGAGUGGCGGACGGGUGAGUAAUACUUAGGAACAUGCCUUUGUGUGGGGGAUAACCAUUGGAAACGAUGGCUAAUACCGCAUAAUGUCUUUGGACCAAAGAGGGCUUUCGGGCUCUCGCGCAAAGAGUGGCCUAAGUGAGAUUAGCUUGUUGGUGAGGUAAAGGCUCACCAAGGCGACGAUCUCUAGCUGUUCUGAGAGGAAGAUCAGCCACACUGGGACUGAGACACGGCCCAGACUCCUACGGGAGGCAGCAGUGGGGAAUAUUGCACAAUGGGGGCAACCCUGAUGCAGCCAUGCCGCGUGUGUGAAGAAGGCCUUCGGGUUGUAAAGCACUUUCAGUUGUGAGGAAAGGUUGGUGGUUAAUACCCAUCAGCUGUGACGUUAGCAACAGAAGAAGCACCGGCUAACUCCGUGCCAGCAGCCGCGGUAAUACGGAGGGUGCGAGCGUUAAUCGGAAUUACUGGGCGUAAAGCGCACGCAGGCGGUUAUAUAAGCUAGAUGUGAAAGCCCCGGGCUCAACCUGGGAAUAGCAUUUAGAACUGUAUGACUAGAGUCUUGGAGAGGGGAGUGGAAUUC
rnacentral:rRNA from 1 species